CCACACUGGAUUACAACCUGCCUUCACAUAAGAGAUGUUGAAGCUUUCAAUGAGGUCACGCCAGACUCUGACAAGCACUGAUGGAAUCUUAUUCAAGGGUGAAAUACAAUGUCUCAGAGAUAGGUGACUGCAGAAUUGCUGAAGAGCAAGGCCACAGUUUCACAACUGUUUUAUGGAUUAUAAGAAUAGUGCCUGGAAGCAAGUUUACAACAAUGUAAGAUGUUGUUUUACCUAUAAAAUCUAUAAAACAGGAGAUCAAGAUCCAGAUAAGGUCAACAGCAGAGCUGUUCAUUGCAGAUCACUGGAAAAGCCACCAUACUAAUAUGGAAUCUAGGGAUGCUCAAAGAGUUCCCCAGCUGUUGUCCAGCACUUCCAGUCAUCCUCUCCAGCACACUCUUCCAGAGGCUACAUCCCUGUAGCACGGUCAGCUGGUGUCAAUACACAUCCCCACAGCAGCCAGUCCAGGACAAAGGCCAGGGCAGUCACAGCACUGUCAGGCUGGGGUCUGAGCUGAGGUGGCCAGCACUAACCCAGCAGGGUCAGGCACAGAACACUCUUCUGCUGACUCAGCUAUGAGGGAAAACCUGUGGAGAAGGAUUAGAUCAGACAACAGCAACUUCUUGAACCACCACGGUGAAAUUCUCCAUGGAAGCUUUGGAAAUGUGGCAAAAAGGACACAGAAAACCAUGGAACAAGUGAGGUAUGGGGAAUAAGUGCAUGAUAGCAGAAAAAAAGUUUCUUCAUCUUGGCUAAACUACUGGACAGCCAGGAAAAAGAAACAAUAAUAAAGGGAAGAGACAAAGUAAAUCUAAAAGAAAUCCUGCAGAUGGAGAACAAAGAAAUUAAAUGCUGCUGUAUUUUCAUUGCUGUGAAGCUAAAUUAAGCUUCCUAAGUCAAGCAGAGAAAUAAUUGGUUUAGAUUUCUAUUCAGAAGACAGCAUGAGCAGCAAGUGCCAGUGGAACAACUAACAAAAGGUAUCUUCCCUCAGAAAAAGCAAGCCAGCAGAUUGCAUAACUGAAAUGAGUUUCCUCCCAGUUUCACAUUAUUAGUCACCUUUCUCCCUUCUCUGCCAAAGGCCUCCUCUUACCCAUCCAUCCAAGGACCAGAUCCAAGGCCUUUCCUGUGCUGCUUCUUUCCAUCAGUCACUCUUCAAGAUCAAGGACCCCAUAACAGUGGUCCUUGUAUCCACUGCAGGGAUUCUGAACCAAUGACAGAGUAAAACCCCUUCAGUUCUACUGUUGGGAAAAAGUCUGAGAUACUUGAACAGACUCUCCUUGUACUCAGCUGUCACGGCCUAAAAAAACAGUUAGUUCCAAAAUUCUGAAAAGAUUUCAAAGGAAAUUUAUUGCAAAGACCCAUCGAGGAGCCCUGACUAGCAGAAGACAUGGUACCUAGAGUCCCUUGGAAACCUGUUUGACUCAGGUGGAAAUGACCUACUGGCAUUUAUUUGUAAUUGCCCAGCAUGGCAGUGGUUGGGGAAGGAAAAGCUGUUGAGUCACACUGCAAGCCACUUUUCCACUUUUGUCUGGUUUCCCAGAGGGCAGAGUCAGAAGGCUGAGAUUCUGCCUCUGACAUUUGCUUCCCACAUGACCUUGGCAAGUACUUCUUCUUGUGCCACCAUUUCCUAAUAGCUAAAACCACUCAACUCAUGGAACAAUCAUAAGUACACAGCAAGGAGCAUCUAAUAAAAGGUAAGAGAAGAGUGAAGUAUUAUAAUUGUUGUCAUAGAAUACAAAAGCAGUUACGUAAUAAUGUCAGUAUUGCUUCAUUUUUGUCCUUACAACAUGAACUGUCAGAGGGACACUGCCUGACACGGUCUCUUCAUCCCAGUGGAUGUACCCAAGCAUUUACAUCACUGAUACAAAACCAGAUUGCUGUAAUCUGGAAGACUCUACCUUGUUUAUUUUGACCAGCCUUUCUCUAGAACAUGUUUUUCCUGUAUAACCUCAUAACCCAUAAUAAUGGCCCAAACUGCACUAUAGGAAUGAUGGCAGGUUUCAUGUGCCAGUAAAAUCAAAACAAUUCCUCACUUGUGCAUUGCACAACUAGUCACCCACUAAAACACACAAGUGCUUAUCUUCUCUGCAAGCAGAAAACAGGCUGAAAGUUAGUUCCUAAAUUAGUACAUCAUACAUACAAAGAACACUUUCUAAAAAUCUCAAUGGCAUGAAAGAAUUAAACUGGAUAAAUUACAUUCUGCUUGUAUGAUAACAAGUUUCUAAGAAAAAGCACUGAUAACUGCUGUUCA